rnacentral:snoRNA from 1 species
GGCAGGCGAAGAUGCAAAGGCAAAUCCUCUUUUGCAACCCAGAACUCAUUGUUCAAUAUGGGUUUUGAUACAUUUGGGAAGAAAUAAG